rnacentral:rRNA from 1 species
GGCGAACGCUGGCGGCGUGCUUAACACAUGCAAGUCGAACGGCAAGGCCCUGCGUUUUUGGGGUUCUCGAUUGGCGAACGGGUGCGUAACAGGUGUGUAACCUACUCUUGACUUUGGUAUAACUUCAGGAAACUAGGGCUACUACCGUAUAGCAUCUCCUGCUGCAUGGUGGGCGUGGGAAAGUUUCGGCGGUUGCGGUUGGACUCGCGGCUUAUCGGCUUGUUGGUGGGGUAGUGGCUUACCAAGGCUUUGACGGGUCGCCGGCCUGAGAGGGUGACCGGCCACAUUGGGCCUGAGGGACGCAGCAGACUCGAACGGUGGGCAGCAGUGGGGAGUCUGGCACAAUGGGCGGAAGCGGGAGGCAGCAACGCCGCGUGCGGGAUGACGGUCUUCGGGGUGUAAACCGCUGUCGCCUGUGACGAAGCGUGAGUGACGGUAAUGGGUAAAGAAGCACCGGCUAACUACGUG